UGGGGAAUAUUGGACAAUGGGGGAAACCCUGAUCCAGCCAUGCCGCGUGAGUGAUGAAGGCCCUAGGGUUGUAAAGCUCUUUCGGCGGGGAAGAUAAUGACUGUACCCGCAGAAGAAGCCCCGGCUAACUUCGUGCCAGCAGCCGCGGUAAUACGAAGGGGGCUAGCGUUGCUCGGAAUCACUGGGCGUAAAGCGCACGUAGGCGGCUUUUUAAGUCAGGGGUGAAAUCCUGGAGCUCAACUCCAGAACUGCCUUUGAUACUGAGAAGCUUGAGUCCGGGAGAGGUGAGUGGAACUGCGAGUGUAGAGGUGAAAUUCGUAGAUAUUCGCAAGAACACCAGUGGCGAAGGCGGCUCACUGGCCCGGUACUGACGCUGAGGUGCGAAAGCGUGGGGAGCAAACA
rnacentral:rRNA from 1 species